rnacentral:rRNA from 1 species
UACGUAGGGUGCGAGCGUUGUCCGGAAUUAUUGGGCGUAAAGAGCUCGUAGGCGGCUUGUCGCGUCGGAUGUGAAAGCCCGGGGCUUAACUCCGGGUCUGCAUUCGAUACGGGCAGGCUAGAGUUCGGUAGGGGAGAUCGGAAUUCCUGGUGUAGCGGUGAAAUGCGCAGAUAUCAGGAGGAACACCGGUGGCGAAGGCGGAUCUCUGGGCAACAACUGACGCUGAGGAGCGAAAGCGUGGGGAGCGAACAGG